rfam:Tupaia chinensis contig234728, whole genome shotgun sequence.
GUCUUGUACCAAAGGAGAGAGGGUUAGCUUUCUCCUUGACAAGGAUGGAAGCGGCCCUCGGACCUGACAACACAGAAGCAGGUAAGGCAUUGCCACCUACUUCCUGGCAUUGAACCAAUAUUUUGG